GAGUCACGCGCCUGGGUGUCGGCGGGGCUGCGGGACCGCGAGUGAGUGUGGUCGCUCCUGGUUCUGCCAGCUCCCCUGAGAGCCUGAACCCGGGCUUGAGAGCCUCGCCACCCCGGGUGACAUCCCUGCCGUGGGCUUGGGGGCUCUGGGUGUGAUUCCGCCGGUCCGGGUCCCGCAGCGACCACCUACCCAGCGCAGUCAGGGGCGGGGCUGGGACCCAGAGCGGGACCCCGGCUGCCGAGUCCAGGUGUCCCGCGGGCCUCGAUUUGGGGAGCAGAAAACGCCAGGUCUUCAAGGGUGUCUGCCACCACCAUGCCUGACCCAUUUGGCAGCAGCCUCGUGUGUGGUGGUCUGGUGUGGACGGUGGAAGCGUGAUUCUGCUGAGUGUCAGUGUGACCACUCGUGCUCAGCCGUAUCUCAGCAGGAGGACAGGUGCCGGAGCAGCUCGUGCAGCUAAGCAGCCAACUGCAGAAACGUCAGGCCUGUUGCAGUCUCCAAGGCACCAUGAAUGCCAUCGUGGCUCUCUGCCACUUCUGCGAGCUCCACGGCCCCCGCACUCUCUUCUGCACGGAGGUGCUGCACGCCCCACUUCCUCAAGGGGAUGGGAAUGAGGACAGUCCUGGCCAGGGUGAGCAGGCGGAAGAAGAGGAAGGUGGCAUUCAGAUGAACAGUCGGAUGCGUGCGCACAGCCCCGCAGAGGGGGCCAGCGUCGAGUCCAGCAGCCCGGGGCCCAAAAAGUCGGACAUGUGCGAGGGCUGCCGGUCACUUGCUGCAGGGCACCCGGGAUAUAUCAGCCAUGAUAAAGAGACCUCCAUUAAAUACGUCAGCCACCAGCACCCCAGCCACCCCCAGCUCUUCAGCAUUGUCCGCCAGGCCUGUGUCCGGAGCCUGAGCUGUGAGGUGAGCCUUGUGGCCACAGAGCCUGUCUCUGUGGGAGCCCACAUGCUCCCAGGUGCUCUGGGUGGGCUCGGAGCCAGCAUUGCACAGGGAGGCAGGCACUGGUCCUCUCUCAGGGCGGACCCGCAGAUCAGCACAGCACAGGGUACAGGACGCCUCCCUUGUCCAGAAUUGCGGGAGGAGUCAUGUUGGACUUGCUGAGCAUUUUCUGAUUGAGUGCUAGCUUUUGCACUUUAAGCACCGAACUUUUAUUAUUUGUCCUUUCUUUAUUAUUAUUGUUUUCUUUUUUCCUUCUUUUGUGUCAGGGUCUCGCUCUGUCGUCCAGACUGGAGUGCAGUGGUGCCGUCAUGGUUCACUGCAACCUCAAACUCCUGGGCUCAAGCGAUCCUCCCGCCUUAGCCUCCCAGGUGGCUGGGACCACUGGUGUGUGCCACCAUGCUCAACUGGGGUUUGUUUUUUGUUGUUGUUAAGACAGAGUCUCACUCGGUUGCCCAGGCUGGAGUGCAGUGGUGCAAUCUCGGCUUACUGCAACCUCCACCCUGGGUUUAAGUGAUUCUUCUGUCUCAGCUAUCCUGAGUAGCUGGGACAACAGGCGUGUGCCACCAUGCCCGGCUAAUUUUUUGUAUUUUUAGUAGAGAAGAGAUUUCACCAUGUUGGCCGAGCUGGUCUUGAACUCCUGACCUUGUGAUUUGCCCGCCUCGGCCUCCCGAAGUGCUGGGAUUACAGGUGGGAGCCACUGUGCCCCACCUUUUUAAAAUUUUUUUGUAGAGAUGAGGUCUCAGUAUGUUGCCCAGGUUGGUCUCGAACUCAAGCAAUCCUCUGGCUCAUCCUCCCAAAGCACUAGGAUUACAGGUGUGAGCCGCCAUGCCCAGCCAUGUGUGUCUAUUCUUGAUGGAUGUAUUCCUAAGAUAGGAAGCAUUUCUAGGUUAGGUGGUUCAUUGCAUCAACAUCACCUUUUUUUAUUAUCUCAGUCCUCAUUCCAAGUCUCAGUGAUGAUCCCGUGCUGCUCUCAGCCUGCUGAGGUGUGGAUGAUUUCUUCCUAAACUACGUCGCUGCUGCUGUUGCUCUUGACUCUGAGCUCAGGUCUUUGUUACAAAGAAUUCGUCGUUCAGUUACUAAACUUCCUUGUCAUUGGUGUCCACCCAGUUCGACACACCAAGCUCCCUUACUGUUCUCAUUCAGUGUGGCUGUGUGCCUGCCCUCAACUGUCCUCUCCUUUUAAUUUCCUACCGCUGGUCUGCUAGCAGGCAGCUCGGCAUGUCUGUUAGAAUUGUGUGUUAAGGAAGAGUAAGUAUGUAAUGAGGAGGGACUGAAAUCCUCUUAUAAGAAUAAAGUACGUGGGGCUGGGCAUGGUGGCCCACUCCUGUAAUCCCAGCCCUUUGGGAGGCCAAGGCCGGCAGAUCACCUGAGGUCAGGAGUUCGAGACCAGCCUGGCCAACAUGGUGAAACCCCCUCUCUAAAAAAAAUACAAAAAAAUUAGCCAGGCGUGGUGGCACACUCUUACAAUCCCAGCUACUCAGGAGGCUGAGGCAGGAGAAUUGCUUGAACCCAGGAGACGGAGGUUGCAGUGGGCCAGGAUCACACCACUGCAUUCCAGCCUGGGUGACAAGAGCGAGACUCCAUCUC
rnacentral:lncRNA from 1 species